UACGAGGGGGGCAAGCGUUGUUCGGAAUUAUUGGGCGUAAAGGGUGCGUAGGCGGUGCGGUAAGUCUGUUGUGAAAUCUCCGGGCUCAACUCGGAGUCUGCAUCAGAAACUGCCGUGCUGGAGUGUGGGAGAGGUGAGUGGAAUUCCCGGUGUAGCGGUGAAAUGCGUAGAGAUCGGGAAGAACACCAGUGGCGAAGGCGGCCCGCUGGGCAGUGGCUGACGCUGAGGCGCGACAGCGUGGGGAGCAAACAGG
rnacentral:rRNA from 1 species